rnacentral:rRNA from 1 species
UACAGAGGAGCCAAGCGUUGUCCGGAUUGACUGGGCGUAAAGCGCACGCAGGCGGACGCGCGCGUGGGGUGUGAAAUCUGGCCGCUUAACGGCCAGGCGCCAUCCCAUACGGCGCGUCUGGAGUGAUGCAGAGGUCGAUGGAAUUGCCGGUGUAGUGGUGAAAUGCGUAGAGAUCGGCAGGAACACCCAGGGGGAAACCAGUCGACUGGGCAUCUACUGACGCUGAGGUGCGAAAGCGUGGGGAGCAAACAGGG